rnacentral:rRNA from 1 species
CAAUAGCGUAUAUUAUUGAUGUUGCAGUUGAAACGUUCGUAGUCGAAUCUUAUCUGCCAAAGCAUUGUGUCAUUUAUGAUGACAUAAUGCUUGUACAAGCGUUUGCAUGUGUUUCACAUGUCUGACCUUGUAUCUUACUUUGAGUGAAUCGGCGUGUUCCACGCAGGCAUGUGCCUUGAACGAUUUACCAUAGCAUAAUCAGAGUAUGGAACUGCUUCCUUGUUUGUUCGGAAGCUCUUUCGAUACUGAUAGGAACGGUUGAGGGCAUUCGUAUUCGACUGCUAGAGGUGAAAUUCUUUGAUUAGUCGAGGACGAACCAUUGCGAAAGCAUCUGCCAAGGACAUUUNCUUUGA